GUUUUUCAGUGACUAUGGUUGUUGUUGUGGCAGGCUUUGUGGUGGUUGUUGCUCCUGUUGUUCCAGAGGGCUUUUCUGUGACUGUUGUGGAUUCAAGAGAUGUAGUGGUACUGGGUUUCCCUGUGAUUGUGGUUGUUGUGGUAGGUUUUGCAGUUGCUGUAGUUGUGGUGGAUUUUUCGGGGACUGUGGUGGUUGUUUCUGCUAUUGUUGUAUGAGGCGUUUCUGUUGUGGAUUCAAGAGUUGUCGUGGCAAUGGGCUUUUCUCUGGUUGUAGUGGUUGUUGUAGGUUGCUUUUCUAUGACUGUUGUUGAUUCAAGGGUUGUUGUGGGUGUUAUGUGUGUUGUGCUCGUCCCACAUAUGUCACGGCAACACUUGAUUCGUAUUUCAUAGUCAAAACAUACGGGUGGGAAUUGUUCAUUGUUAUGACAGAUCAGUCCAGUUGUUGGACUACAUGUUACUUUUUGCCCUAGGUCCUUCAAAGGUACAUCUUUGUAAUUUGCAGCUCUACAUUGUAUUUCCAGGGGUUUUGUACAAAGACUCAGAUCUGGAUAAGUAAUGCUUUGAAUGGUUUCAUAUUCUCCACCACCUGCACCAAAGACAGGGUAACUGUUGUUCAUCCAUUUCGUCCAUGUACAAACAAUGCAGCCAGCAGUUGUUGAUGUUUCUGUGAUUAUUAUGGUGGUUGUUGCCUCUGUUGUUUCAGGGGACUUUUCGGUGACUGUUGUGGAUUCAAAAGUUGUAGUGGCAGUAGGUUUUUCUGUGAUUGUCGUUGUUGUGGAAGGUCUUGCGGUGGUUGUUGCUGCUGUUUUUCCAGAGGGCUUUUCUGUUGUGGAUUCAAAAGAUGUAGUGGUAGUGUUUAUUUCUGUGAUUGUAGUUGUUGUGGAAAGUUUUGCGGUCGCUGUAGUUGUGGUGGGUUUUUCGGUGACUGUGGUUGUUGUUGUGGCAGGUUUUGUGGUAGUUGUUGCUCCUGUUGUUCCAGGGGGCUUUUCUGUGACUGUUGUGGAUUCAAAAGUUGUAGCGGUAGUGGUUUUUCCUGGGACUGUGGUUGUUGCUGCAGGUUUUGUUUUGGUGGUUGUUGCUACUGUUGUUCCAAAGGGUUUUUCUGUUGUGGAUUCAAAAGAUGUAGUAGUAGUGGGUCUUUCUGUGAUUGUGGUUGUUGUGGAAGGUGUUGCCGUUGUUCCUGCUGCUGUUGUUCCAGAGGGUUUUUCUGUGACUGUUGUAGUUGUAAUUUCAACAAGAGGUUUUGCUGAUUGUGCUGCUGUAGUACUGUAUUGUACUGUGUUUGUAACAACUUCCAAGGUUGUUGUGGUAGGUUUUUCUGUAGUUGUUGUUGUGCUAGUGUUUUCUGUUACUGUAGUGGUUGUUUCUGCUGUUGUUCCAGAGGGCUUUUCUGUGACUGUUGUGGAUUCAAAAGUUGUAGUGGCAGUAGGUUUUUCUGUGAUUGUCGUUGUUGUCGAAGGUUUUGCGGUCGCUGUAGUUGUGGUGGGUUUUUCAGUGACUAUGGUUGUUGUUGUGGCAGGCUUUGUGGUGGUUGUUGCUCCUGUUGUUCCAGAGGGCUUUUCUGUGACUGUUGUGGAUUCAAAAGUUGUAGUGGCAGUAGGUUUCUCUGUGAUUGUCGUUGUUGUCAAAGGUUUUGCGGUCGCUGUAGUUGUGGUGGGUUUUUCAGUGACUAUGGUUGUUGUUGUGGCAGGCUUUGUGGUGGUUGUUGCUCCUGUUGUUCCAGAGGGCUUUUCUG
ensembl:lncRNA